AUGUCGUUCCCAGAAGGCCCAGGGCACUUAGAACAGUGCUGGCACAUAGAGAGUGCUCCUCUUCCUCGUCCAUCAACUGACCUGCUCUGUGUCCAUUUCUGCAACACUGGCACUCCUUCAGCACGGAUGAUGCACCGCCCUGCAGCACCAGUUGGCUGCUCUGAAGCCGUCACCCAUGUUGACCUAAUCGUGGGUGCUCACAUUGAAGCAGAGGUCACAACCCGCAGCGGGACCGAGCCUGAGGCGCCGGGAGGAGGCUGCGCACUUGUGAGCACCUCUGAGGAAGCUGCGAGAAGCCUGGCGGGUGUUGCUCCGGGGGCAGCCCAGGCUCGCGCGCAGGAGAAGUGCUGCGACCCCCGCGGCUCUCCCGGAACCGCACCGGAGUCGGCUGUGCACCCAGCCUUCCCUCACCGCAGCUCUCGGAACGGCAGCGCCAUAGCCGCCGCUGAGCCUCUAGGGGGCGCUGCUCUCCCGGCUGCUGUGAGCACCUCCGAGACCGUGACUAUGGCCCUGGCCGGGGGGCGGCCAGUGCGGGUAGAGAGCCCUCCGGUGGCCCUGGGUGCCAUGACUAAGGUUCCUGUCAGCGUCUGCAUGGAGCCCAUGGCGUCCCAGCCCCUGCGGUCCCCCGUGGGGACCCUGGUGACCAAAGUGGCUCCUGUCAGCGCCUCUCCUAAACUCAGCAGCUGCCCUAGGCUGCCUGCUCCUCAGAUGGUCGCUGUGAAAGCCCCCAACACCACGACAAUCCAGUUUCCUGCUAAUUUGCAGCUUCCUCCAGGAACCGUUUUGAUCAAAAGUAACAGUAGUCAGUUGAUGUUGGUAUAUCCUGAGCAAGCAAGAGCCGAGACCACAAGUAACAUAACUUCAAGGCCAGCAGUACCAGCCAGUCCUCAAACAGUCACAAUCUGUAUAGUGCCCUCUGUGGCUGUGCCUACCAGUGUUGUCACAGUAACUCCUGAAAAGCCACUGAUUACUGUAGCUACCCUGAAGUUUGGGAGCAUCAUCCACCCCCUCAAAUGAGCCCAAUUUUAAAGCAGAGAACUCAGCAGCUGUUCAGAUUAAUCUUUCUCUGACAAUGCUAGAAAACGUGAAGAAAUGCAAGAACUUCCUUGCAAUGUUCAUAAAACUAGCAUGUGGUGGAUCACAGUCCCCAGAAAUGCGGCAAAAUAUGAAGAAACUGGUGGAACAACUUUUGGAUGCAAAAAUCGAAGCAGAAUUUCCUAGGAAACUGUAUGUUGAACUCAAGUCUUCACCUCAGCCUCACCUGGUUCCUUUUCUUAAGAAGAGUGUGGUUGCUUAGACAACUUCUGCCUAGCUCCCAGAGCUUCAUCCAGCAAUGUGUUCAGCAGACUUCUAGUGAGGGAGUCACUGCUACCUGUACUACAACAGUAACAACUUCUCCUGUGGUGACAACAGUGUCCUCAAGCCAGUCUGAAAAGUCCAUUAUUGUUUUUGGAGCAACAGCACCCAGAACUGUGUCAGUGCAAACUCUGAACCCACUUGGUGGUCCAGGGAGAGCAAAAGCUUGAGUUGUGACACUUCAUUCUGUGGGCCCAGCUGCUGCAACAGGAGGAACAAUAGCUGGAACUGUUUUGCUUCAGACUUCAAAACCACUUGUGACAUCUGUACCAAACACAGUGACAACAGUCUCACUGCAACCUGAAAAGCCAGUUGUCUCUGGAACAGCGGUAACACUCCCUUUCAGCAGUAACUUUUGAGAAACUUCAGGUGCAGCCAUUUGUCUUCCAUCUGUGAAAACUGUUGUUACUUCUGCUGGGACCACAUCUGACCAGCCUGUUACUGGCACUCCAAUUCAAAUCAAACUUGCCCAGCUGGACCCUGUCCUUUCACAACAGCUGGGAUUCCACAGGAAGUUAAAGUCAAGCAACCAGUAGUUCAGCAGCCUUUAGGAGGCAAUGAAUAACAGGUGACCAAACUCACAUUCCUCUGCAUUGACCAUUCAGAAAUCUGGACAGAAGAUGAUGCCAGGGAACACAGUAAUACCUACCAGCCAGUUUCCUCCAGCGUCCACUCUAAAGCAAAUUACUCUGCCUGGAAACAAAAUUCUGUCACUUCAAGCAUCUCCUACUCAGAAAAAUGAAAUAAAAGAGAAUGGAACAACAUGAUUCAGAGAUGAGGAUGACAUCAGUGAUGUGACUUCUAUGACAGAGGUCAACCUUAACGAAGAAAAUGCCUGCAUCUUAGCAACAAACUCUGAAUUGGUUGGCACACUCAUUUCAGUCAUGUAAAGAUGAAUCAUUUCUUUUUAUUGUAGCUCUACAAAAGAGAAUUUUACACAUUGGUAAAAAGCAUGACAUUACAGAACUUAACUCUAAUGCUGUGAACUUAUCUACCAUGCAACACAGGAACCUUCUAGAAAAACUGACUGCAAUUGCUCAGCAUAGAAUGGCUACUUAACAAGGCAAGUGAAAAUUAUAUCUUGUGUAGUGAUACCAGGUUACAGCUCAGUUUCUGAAAAAGCUGGAUCAAUUGGAGAAGCAGAGAAAGGAUUUAGAACCAAGAGAAAUGUUGCAGCCAAGAGUCAUUCUAAUAAAGAAGACCCAGAACACCUGAGAUUAAAGCAGAAGGCCAGAUUACAGCAGUUGGAACUUGCACAGAUACAGCAUAGAGAUGCUUAUCUCACAGCUCUUGCAGCUACUGGACCAAGGAAGAAGAGACCACUAGAAUCUGGAAGUGAGGGUUUAAAAGACAACCUUCUUGCUUCUGAGACAUCCAGCCUGAGAGCCACCAAACAGUUGCUUCAUCCAAGAAUCACGAGAAACUGCCUCAGGGACUUGAUAUUUUGUAUGGCACAGGAACGGGAGAUGAAGUAUUCUCGAGCUGUAUACCUGGCCCUUCUGAAGUGACCACUCCACUCUCCAUCCAGAUCCUUGCUAUUUAUUGCCAAAGAAGACACAACGAGCAUUGUUGCACUGUCCUGAAAUUUCAAUUUCUGGAAAAUAAUCACCAAUACAAAAGCAUUGUUUACAGUUAGAAACUUUAUUAAGUCUUACCUAUCCGUUCCAUGGGGCUGUUACAGACUAGAAUUGUCUCUGUCUUUUGAAAAUCUGUUAUGAAACACACUGCACAGAAUUAGGCAUUUGCCUACCUGUGCAUAUAAUUACAGCAAGUUAAGGCCCUGUUUGUUACUACCUGCCUCGUUUGCCAAAUUGUAACAUGUGAGGUGUCCUUUCCUAAUAUAGUGUGCAUUGAGAUGCCAGAGAAAGGAAGAGGCACUACAAGAAAAUACAAAAAUGACGAUUUCAUUCUGUAUUGAACCUGUCCCAAAGUGUAGGUGCUCUGGGCUGGAAUCAGAAGUUGCUCAGCUAACUAUGACAGUCACUUUCUGUACAUGACAGGCCAGAGUAGGGUCUAUGGUAACUUUGUUUGGCUGAGUUCCAGUGUUGUCAAAAAUGAGACAAAUGGGGAUAGAUCAUGCCUGGGGUUGCUAAUUCUCUGUUUCAUAUCACCAUGUGCUGUUUCUGAUACCAAGUGAGUGGACAUCCUUGUCAGGGAAACAAGAAUUUGUCCUAAAAAUGGAAUCUACCGAUAUAUCUUAUAAAAAUGAAAAAGGUGGAAAGUAUUGGAAGGAAUGAUGGGGCGCUGCAUUCAAACUGAUGAAGGGAAUGUGAAAAUGGUAUCCUAAAACAGGGAAUGUGCUUCAUAAGCCCAAGAGGGGAAGGGGCAGAAUCAGAACUCCAAAACUACUGGUACAUGUUUCGUUGAUGAGAAAAAAAUCACAGUACAACCAGAAUGGAGAAUGUACCAGAUGUUUUCAAAUUAUAGUAUUUCAAAAGCAAGAUGUUAUUUUUUGUUUUGUAUUGUUUUAAAUCCCAAGAAGGAUGGUUUUUGCAGUUCCUACUGUCAUAAUAUAUUUUAGUUAUCCUAAGUUUUAAGCGCGUUGGCACAUUUAAAAAAUCCUAAUUGAUGAUGAAAAAAUUUUAACAAUAGGACUUUAUGUUGGAUUCUGUACUUAAAAGGUACUGUCAGUAUCUCACUCUUGGGGAUAUGAGCACUAAAUAUGAGAAGCAAGUUAUAUAUGUUCACCUGAGGAAGAAGCUGACAGGCAAAGCUAACCCACUUUAAAAAAAAAAAAAUUCCAUGUGUGGAAUACAGCUGGUGAAAACUAAUCACUGUAGUUAGAAUCAUAUACAGAAAAAGAUGAUUGAAUGCUACAAGAAGGUUUUUCAAAAAUGGGAAGUGCUAUACUUACAAGAAUUCAGGGGGAGAAAAAAAAAACACCCCACAUAUAUUAUUCUUCAUCCUGUUCUUUCCAUUGGGACUGUUACGGCCAUAUUCUAUGCUACAGUAAAUUUUAAAUUGGCCACAUUUUCUUUUCGUUUCAGCAAGUUAGUAAAACGCUAUAUAUUGUGUGUAUGUUAAAGGAGUACUUUAAGAAGAGAUCUUUGAGGAGUCCCUAGAAACCCACCUUAUCAAACAGCUUCCGAGAUCACAGCCAGGUAAAUCCACAAAGAUGGGAAAAAACCAGUGCAAAAAAGAUGAAACCAUCAAAGAACAGAGCACCUCUUCUCCUUCAAGAGAUUGCAGCUCCUCAACAACACGGGAACACAACACGACUGAGGAAGAGUGCGAUGAACUGACAGAAACAGGCUUCAGAAGGUGGAUAAUAACAAACUUUUCUGAGCUAAAAGAACACGUUCUAUCAAUGCAAAGAAACCAAAAACCUUGA